rnacentral:rRNA from 1 species
AAACUAACAAGGAUUCCCUUAGUAACGGCGAGUGAACCGGGAAAAGCUCAAAUUUGUAAUCUGGCUGUCUUCGAUAGUCCGAGUUGUAAUCUAUAGACGUGUUUUCCGUGCUGGACCGUAUCUAAGUCCCUUGGAACAGGGUAUCAAAGAGGGUGACAAUCCCGUGCUUGAUACGACCACCAGUGCUCUGUGAUACACGCUCUACGAGUCGAGUUGUUUGGGAAUGCAGCUCAAAAUGGGUGGUAAAUUCCAUCUAAAGCUAAAUAUUGGCGAGAGACCGAUAGCGAACAAGUACCGUGAGGGAAAGAUGAAAAGCACUUUGGAAAGAGAGUUAAACAGUACGUGAAAUUGUUGAAAGGGAAACGAUUGAAGUCAGUCGUGUUCUUUGGAUUCAGCUAGUUCUUCUAGUCUACUUCCUUUGAACGGGUCAACAUCAGUUUUGUCCGGUGGAUAAAGAUAGUAGGAAUGUAGCUCCCUCGGGAGUGUUAUAGACUAUUAUUGCAUGCACUGGGUGAGACUGAGGACUGCAGCUCGCCUUUUGGCCGGCCUUCGGGUACGUUCGAGCUUAGGAUGUUGACAUAAUGGCUUUAAACGAC